UGGGAGGAGUCCGAAAAUCCCAAACAGAGUAGGAA
rnacentral:ncRNA from 1 species